GACGAACGCUGGCGGCGUGCUUAACACAUGCAAGUCGAACGGAAAGGCCCUGCUUUUGUGGGGUGCUCGAGUGGCGAACGGGUGAGUAACACGUGAGUAACCUGCCCUUGACUUUGGGAUAACUUCAGGAAACUGGGGCUAAUACCGGAUAGGAGCUCCUGCUGCAUGGUGGGGGUUGGAAAGUUUCGGCGGUUGGGGAUGGACUCGCGGCUUAUCAGCUUGUUGGGGGGGUAGUGGCUUACCAAGGCUUUGACGGGUAGCCGGCCUGAGAGGGUGACCGGCCACAUUGGUACUUAGAUACGGCCCAGACUCCUACGGGAGGCAGCAGUGGGGAAUAUUGCACAAUGGGCGGAAGCCUGAUGCAGCAACGUCGCGUGCGGGAUGACGGCCUUCGGGUUGUAAACCGCUUUCGCCUGUGACGAAGCGUGAGUGACGGUAAUGGGUAAAGAAGCACCGGCUAACUACGUG
rnacentral:rRNA from 1 species